rnacentral:rRNA from 1 species
ACGCACGCUGGCGGCGUGCUUCACACAUGCCAGUCGCACGGAAAGGCCCUGCUUUUGUGGGGUGCUCGAGUGGCGAACGGGUGAGUAACACGUGAGUAACCUGCCCUUGACUUUGGGAUAACUUCAGGAAACUGGGGCUAAUACCGGAUAGGAGCUCCUGCUGCAUGGUGGGGGUUGGAAAGUUUCGGCGGUUGGGGAUGGACUCGCGGCUUAUCAGCUUGUUGGUGGGGUAGUGGCUUACCAAGGCUUUGACGGGUAGCCGGUCUGAGAGGGUGACCGGCCACAUUGGGACUGAGAUACGGGCCAGACUCCUACGGGAGGCAGCAGUGGGGAAUAUUGCACAAUGGGCGGAAGCCUGAUGCAGCAACGCCGCGUGCGGGAUGACGGCCUUCGGGUUGUAAACCGCUUUCGCCUGUGACGAAGCGUGAGUGACGGUAAUGGGUAAAGAAGCACCGGCUAACUACGUG